rnacentral:rRNA from 1 species
AUUGAACGCUGGCGGCAUGCCUUACACAUGCAAGUCGAACGGCAGCACGGGAGCAAUCCUGGUGGCGAGUGGCGAACGGGUGAGUAAAGUAUCGGAACGUGCCCAGUCGUGGGGGAUAACGUAGCGAAAGUUACGCUAAUACCGCAUACGAUCUAUGGAGGAAAGCGGGGGAUCGCAAGACCUCGCGCGAUUGGAGCGGCCGAUAUCAGAUUAGGUAGUUGGUGGGGUAAAGGCCCACCAAGCCGACGAUCUGUAGCUGGUCUGAGAGGACGACCAGCCACACUGGGACUGAGACACGGCCCAGACUCCUACGGGAGGCAGCAGUGGGGAAUUUUGGACAAUGGGCGAAAGCCUGAUCCAGCCAUGCCGCGUGCAGGAUGAAGGCCUUCGGGUUGUAAACUGCUUUUGUACGGAACGAAAAGGUUUGGGCUAAUAAGCUGAGCUCAUGACGGUACCGUAAGAAUAAGCACCGGCUAACUACGUGCCAGCAGCCGCCGCGG